UGUGUGGCGUCUAACGAGGCCGGAGAGAUCAGCGCCUCCACUAGCCUCCUGGUGCUGCGCGAGGACCUGCUUCCUCCCGGCUUCCCGUCCAUAGAUAUGGGUCCUCAGCUCAAGGUGGUGGAACGCUCUCGCACAGCCACCAUGCUGUGUGCAGCCAGCGGCACUCCUGACCCAGAGAUCACCUGGUUUAAGGACUUCCUUCCCAUCGACACACACACUCACGGACGCAUCAAAACAGCUGCGCUCAGGUACGGAGUUUAGCCGGAUUUAAUCUCAGCUCUUCCUUAGGCCUUUUGAUGAAGAGUCAGGGACCAAGCGAACGGUUAUAAUAAUCAGUCAUCACAAACGCACGCCUGAAUACGUCUGUUCUUUAUACGAUCAUUUGUCGGUUUUUAAUCUUUUUGUCCUUCUAGGUUGAUCAUGAGUAGUUGAGCAAAAGGAGAGCGUGUGUCGAGGUUCAAAAGAGAUUUCAAAAAACGAUAUUAAAUUUCAUUUCCAGCAUAGCUGCGUCUGUGGUCUUCUGUGUGUGCUAAGAAUCGAGAUGAACCGUGCUUGAAUAACACGCACGAUAUUAUUUAUGAUAUAUUUCUUAUAAGAAUCUUAUCUGUUUAUCUUAGAAAGAUUUGAAUGCUUUGUCAAGAAUAAGAAACUCACACACGUUAACACGCAAUGCACGACUUAUAACGAAGUCACGUCAAGACAAAUGUGACUUUUUAAAUACAAGUUAAAGUUAGCUUUAAAGCCAGGGAACGCAUCCAGACAAUCCCGAAGGCCUUUAAGAGAAACCGUAGAUACCCGAGUAACAUUUCAGACACUAAAGUGGUAAAUUUGUUCAAUUAAUUUACUCUUUGCCUUACCACUGUAUCCUUUAAUCAUGUUUCACGUGUUUCCUUUUCAUGACCCAGCUGAAAACCGAGCAUAGAAAGUGUGGGGAAAAUGUUGAAUUAUUUUCGCAAAGGAAAAGUGAAAGAAUGAUGAAAAAGCACGAUUAAACAUGCGCGUGUGUGAAAGAGACUAACAGAAUAUUAGUCUCAGAUUUUUAUAGAAGGUCAGGAACGUUUCAGGAACUGGUGUAGCUAAAUAUUUUCACGUAGCGCUCCUCUCUGUAGUGUCCGUCGACUUGAGAACAACGCCAGCUGCUCAUAUCCUGACUAUGACUCCGUUUACAUGGACAGCAGUAAUCGAAUUAUUGACCUUACUCUGAGUAAGAUAAUAUUCUGAUUAAGGUGUUUACAUGAGUCGCUUUUAGAACACUCCCGUCAUGUUCCCGUCUUACAUGUUAUAGAACAUAAUUAGAUUAACGGCACACGUCAUUACGUCACCGCGCCACGCCGUCCGACGUCCCUCCAGAAUUUCACGUAUCAACAUACAGUUGGUCUUCGUUAUGGCACCGUAUACAGUUUUGGGUGUUUUUAUUUAAUUUUUUAGCUUCAAGUGCGAUUAAUUAUUUGUCAUGCUGUACGUGCAAAUAGACGACUGCUUGAAGCCGUGGACUGCGUCCCAAACCGUGUACUUACCGUCUAUUUAGUAGCAGAGAUACAUGUAUUUUUCCCCACUACAGGCCUAUAGUAGGCAAGUACGCGGUUUGGGACGCAGCCGAACUCUCUUGUUCGCCGUAAAAUGUUGAGCACUGCCGUGUGUGUACGUGUCCUGUCAGAAAAUGCGGUGAAAACUCUCACACGACGUUAAUAGUGUGAUUAAGAUGUCUGUAAUACACAUCCAUAAUGCGACUAAAACAGGAAUACUCCACCUGUCUUAAUUCGAUUUGUGUUUACUUCGAGUAUGACCUUAAUCAGAUUAAGGUCAUUAAAAAUAGCUGUUUACAUGGUAGUUUCUUAAUCAAAGUAUCGUCUUAAUCGGGUUAAUAGUGGAUUAUUGUUGUCCAUGUAAACGCACUGAGUGUCUGUGGUUUUCCACAAAACAAAAAAUAAACUAUAAUAGACUUUAUACCACAAUGCUGCUGAAUUCUCAGUUCUGAUUGGUCAGAAAGUUUGAUUCAUUUUCUAUAACAGCAGCUCUAACAGUAGAUUCGAGUGCAAGGCAGAUCACACGUUUACAUGUAUGUUAAUGUGUCUGUAUACGUAUGUUAUCGUUUGUAUAGUAACAACAAUAAUAAUACGCCGCCGCUACAGGAAAAUAAUCAACUUUGACACAGAACGGCAUGAGGAGUUUACAGCCUCACGCAGACGUUAUACAGCGCACAGUAUUAGAGGUCGAGCGAUACCGAUAACGGAGUCGGGCGAUACCGACCUGCCGAUAACCGAUUAAUCAACCGAAAAAUUUAAAACUGAUACUGAAUGUAAACAUAACACUUAAAGUAAAAUAUUGAUGAACUAUAUUACCAAAAUAAACAGUACUGACUGUACUUUUUAAAAUGAAAUAAAUAUUAAUAUAUAUUAACUAUUAAUAAAUAUUAAAGGAAAUAAAAGAUCCAACAUGGAUUAAAACACUUCAAAUAACACGACAAAAUUAGUCAGUGAUAGUUUUUAUUUCACCUCUAGAGGCCGCUCUCGUACCGUAUGCUAACGACAGAAGACGCUUGUCAGCCGCUCCACAACAGACGCAAGCAGGAAAAUCUAUCAGUGUGGAUUUUUGCCGAUAAACGAUAGUUCCAGCAAACCGAUCAAUCGCUCGACCUCUAAAACAUUUUAUUACAUUUAUUUUUGUUCAGUCCGAAUCCACAGUAACACGGCUAAAUUUAAAAACGCAUCCUUUCUGAUCUUUUCCUUUCCGUGCACGCUAAAGCGUUUUCAACCUCUUAAAAAAAAAAAAAAAAAAAGCAUCUCGGAUCAAUCCGGACAUCAUCAGAACUUCCUGCAGCACUGUUUCCUUUAUUCUGAAUUUUUUCAGUCUGAUGACGUAGAAGUGUAAAAGCGAGACAAGAACGCGUGUUUUUGUAUGAACAAAAUGACGUAAAGGCCACUGUUUUUCGUAGACAGGAAACCGUUUUGGGGAAAUGCGUAAACGUUUUCAAACCGACUCGUGUUAAUGAGGACGAGACAAAAAUAAAGAAAGAAAGAAAUAAUCCCAUCUUUAAUACGUACGUGUCUGUUAUAUGUAUGAGCUCUGAAUGAACAUUUUUGUUGUUUAUGUUCUGGUCUUAUUUUUUCAUAUGCACACACACACAGUCUCAUACACACUGUUUUAUCCUGUAAACGUUUCGUUAAAGUGAUGCAUGUGCUGUCUCUCUCUCUAUGUUUUGAUCGACAGAGUCCUUUGGUAAGUCAGUUACUUUAAGGCACAACAUACACACUGCUAAGAUAACGCACUCUCCUAGUAUAGCUUCAGUAAACUGCAUGAUACGUAAUGUUUCACCUAACAGUAUGAUUAGCCUGACCCUACACAGACAUACAAAACACACACACCUGUUCUGGACACACACACACAAAGCUACGCCCUAUGCACUUUUAAUAAACACUCCCAUCACAUAGAGGUAGUCAUUUUCACCCGAGUGCUACCCCCUCACAUGUGCUACUUAACUUGUGUCACUCGCACUUUCCCUAACUGUCUCACUCAGAGGCUCACUCUCUCACCCCUUACCAUCAGAGUACCUACAUCUAUCCCCUCUCUCUCUCUCUCUCUCGCUCUCUCGCUCUCUCUCUCCUG
ensembl:lncRNA